UUUUACUUGUCGGAGUGCCUUAACUCGUUAAGGCUGAGAUCGCGAAAGCGGGAUCCGUGAACCUGAUCAGGUUAAAACCUGCGUAGGGAACAAGCUGCCUAAAAUG
rnacentral:ncRNA from 2 species